UGGCGAACGGGUGAGUAACACGUGGGUAAUCUGCCCUGUACUUUGGGAUAAGCCUUGGAAACGGGGUCUAAUACCGGAUAUGACCGCUCUUCGCAUCGGGGGGGUGGGUGGGAAAGCUCCGGCGGUAUGGGAUGAGCCUGCGGCCUAUCAGCUUGUUGGUGGGGUGAUGGCCUACCAAGGCGACGACGGGUAGCCGGCCUGAGAGGGUGUCCGGCCACACUGGGACUGAGAUACGGCCCAG
rnacentral:rRNA from 1 species